AACAUGUUCACCACUCACUGUGGAAAGACGAACUUGCAGGGACUGACAAAAGCCAAAACCUUGGACUGUGACCCGUGUUAUGUCUGCGUCUUAAUGGGGAGUAUUUAUAUCACAGUAAAGGUGGACUCUUGAUCAACGCAGGGACACCACUCCACCUUCUUGCCCACAUGCAAUCACUGUUCCCCUCAAGACAGCAGGAUGUAAUUACUAGUUGGACCCCUUUCUUGUUCGUGUCAGUGUAUUUGAUGGAAAAUGCUUACUAUGUCCACAUGCAGCACCCAAGGGAGGGUAAUGGAUGUGGUUUCUUCGCCCAUUCGGAUGUUUUGUUCGACUGCAUGCGUGUCGACCUGACGAAGCCUAAACUCUAAGACGCUGUGGGUGAAGCUGUCAGGAUGAAGACCACAUAUUUAAAAAUGUUUUCAAAAAAGAAAGAGAUAGGGAUAGAGGAGAGCUUUUGUUUUCAGGGGCAUGCUAAGCUAUGUAUGAUGGGUCUUUGGAGCAUAAAAUUAAAUGUCACAAUAAAUUUUCCAAUAACAUCA